rnacentral:rRNA from 1 species
UACAGGGGGAGCAAGCGUUGUUCGGAUUUACUGGGCGUAAAGGGCGCGUAGGCGGCCACCGCAAGUCGACUGUGAAAUCUCCGGGCUUAACCCGGAAAGGUCAGCCGAUACUGCGGGGCUAGAGUGCAGAAGGGGCAACUGGAAUUCUCGGUGUAGCGGUGAAAUGCGUAGAUAUCGAGAGGAACACCUGCGGCGAAGGCGGGUUGCUGGGCUGACACUGACGCUGAGGCGCGAAAGCUAGGGGAGCGAACGGG